UCAAUAGCGUAUAUUAAAGUUGUUGCAGUUAAAAAGCUCGUAGUUGAACUUCGGGGUCUACCCAUUGGUCAGGCUUAAUUGUCUGCACUGGUGAGAUGGAUCUCUACCUUCUGAGGAACUUUCAUGCCAUUUAUUUGGUGUGAUUGGAAAUCAGGACUGUUACUUUGAAAAAAUUAGAGUGUUUAAAGCAGACUAUCGUCUGAAUACAUUAGCAUGGAAUAAUGAAAUAGGACGGACUGAUUCUAUUUCGUUGGUUUCUAGGAUCACCGUAAUGAUUAAUAGGGAUAGUUGGGGGCAUUAGUAUUCAAUUGUCAGAGGUGAAAUUCUUGGAUUUAUUGAAGACUAACUACUGCGAAAGCAUUUGCCAAGGAUGUUUUCAUUAAUCAAGAACGAAAGUUAGGGGAUCGAAGACGAUCAGAUACCGUCGUAGUCUUAACCAUAAACUAUGCCGACUAGGGAUCGGACGAAGUUAAUUUUAUAAUGACGCGUUCGGCGCCUUACG
rnacentral:rRNA from 1 species